rnacentral:rRNA from 1 species
AUUGAACGCUGGCGGCAGGCCUAACACAUGCAAGUCGAGCGAACGGCGGACGGGUGGGUAAUUUCUUGGAAACUGCCUGAUGGAGGGGGAUAACUACGGGAAACGGUAGCUAAUACCGCAUACCAUCAGAUGUGCCCCGCUGGGAUUAGGUAGUCGGUGGGGUAAUGGCUCACCGCGGCGACGAUCCCUAGCUGGGCUGAGAGGAUGACCAGCCACACUGGAACUGAGACACGGUCCAGACUCCUACGGGAGGCAGCAGUGGGGAAUAUUGGACAAUGGGCGCAAGCCUGAGACAGCCAUGCCGCGUGUGUGAAGAAGGCUUUCGGGUUGUAAAGCACUGUCAGCGAGGAGGCGUUACUCGCAGAAGAAGCACCGGCUAACUCCGUGCCAGCAGCCGCGGUAAUAC